rnacentral:lncRNA from 1 species
ACAGUCCUCUAAUUUACAAUCACGACCUUCUACUUACAGGAUUUUACAAAUCUCACAAUUCGCUAAUUUAUGAUCACGACCUACUUACAAGAUUUUACAAAUCUCACGGUCCACUGAUUUACAAUCACGACCUUCAACAUACAAGAUUUACAUAAUCUUAUAGAUUACAAUACAGUUUGCGGUAUUUUAUAAUACAUUUCGCGACAUUUCUGUACAUACAGUUUGUAG